rnacentral:misc_RNA from 1 species
AACGCACGAGACCUGCGGACCUGCGGAAGGAUCAUUAGUGAACGCCCUCACGGGCUUAUAACUAUUCCAAACCUCUGUGAACCGUGCCCUUCGGGGCUAUUUUACAAACAUGGUGUAAUGGACGUCAUAUAUCAUAACAAAACAAAACUUUCAACAACGGAUCUCU